rnacentral:misc_RNA from 1 species
UCCUGGUUAACCCAGGCAGUCUCACUAGAGUUCCCACCAUAAUGUUGGCAACUAGUGAUAAGGGUUGCGCUCGUUGCGGGACUUAACCCAACACCUCACGGCACGAGCUGACGACAGCCAUGCAGCACCUGUUCAGAGGCCCCGAAGGGAGAUCCCAUUUCUGGGACUGUCCUCUGUAUGUCAAGCCUGGGUAAGGUUUUUCGCGUUGCAUCGAAUUAAACCACAUGCUCCACUGCUUGUGCGGGUCCCCGUCAAUUCUUUUGAGUUUCAGCCUUGCGACUGUACUCCCCAGGCGGUAUACUUAUCACGUUAGCUUCGGCACAACCAGGGUUGAUUCCGGUUACACCAAGUAUACAUCGUUUACGGCAAGGACUAC